rnacentral:rRNA from 1 species
AAACAUUGAUUUUACAUUACACUUAAUAUUCCGCCCGGGAAUUACAAGCACUAGCUUAAAACCCAAAGGACUUGGCGGUGCUUAAUAUCCACCUAGAGGAGCCUGUUCUAUAACCGAUAAUCCCCGCUUAACCUCACCCCCUCUUGCCCUUACCGCCUAUAUACCACCGUCGUAAGCCUACCCUGUGAAGGCCCAAUAGUAUGCAAAACUAGUAUAGCCCCGAACGUCAGGUCAAGGUGUAGUACAUGAGAGGAGAAAGAAAUGGGCUACAUUCAUCAAUUCUAGUGAACACGAAUGAUGCACUGAAAACCUAUGCAGCUGAAGGAGGAUUUAGUAGUAAGAGAGAAACAGAGUGUCUC